CAUCUUUAAUAGGAUGUUACGAUUGUGUGAAUACAUAGCACAUUCGAGGUAGACGCAGAGAACUGAAACAUCUAAGUACCUGCAGGAAGAGAAAGAAAAUUCGAUUCCCUGAGUAGCGGCGAGCGAAACGGGAAAAGCCCAAACCAACAAGCUUGCUUGUUGGGGUUGUAGGACUCCAAUAUGGUCGUUCUUUCAGAUAGUCGAAUGACU
rnacentral:rRNA from 1 species